UUGUCUCAAAGAUUAAGCCAUGCAUGUCUCAGUACAAGCCGAAUUAAGGUGAAACCGCGAAAGGCUCAUUAAAUCAGUUAUGGUUCCUUAGAUCGUACCCACAUUUACUUGGAUAACUGUGGUAAUUCUAGAGCUAAUACAUGCAAACAGAGCUCCGACCGGAGACGGAAGGAGCGCUUUUAUUAGAUCAAAACCAAUCGGUGGCGGUUCCCGUCAUCGUACAACUUGGUGACUCUGAAUAACUUUACGCUGAUCGCACGGUCUCGCACCGGCGACGCAUCUUUCAAAUGUCUGCCUUAUCAACUGUCGAUGGUAGGUUCUGCGCCUACCAUGGUUGUAACGGGUAACGGGGAAUCAGGGUUCGAUUCCGGAGAGGGAGCCUGAGAAACGGCUACCACAUCCAAGGAAGGCAGCAGGCGCGCAAAUUACCCACUCCCGGCACGGGGAGGUAGUGACGAAAAAUAACGAUACGGGACUCAUCCGAGGCCCCGUAAUCGGAAUGAGUACACUCUAAACCCUUUAACGAGGAUCAAUUGGAGGGCAAGUCUGGUGCCAGCAGCCGCGGUAAUUCCAGCUCCAAUAGCGUAUAUUAAAGUUGUUGCGGUUAAAAAGCUCGUAGUCGAAUCUGUGUCCCGCGCCGCCGGUUCAUCGUUCGCGGUGUUAACUGGCGUGCCGCGGGACGUCCUGCCGGUGGGCUUAGCUCGCGAGGGCGGCCCAACUCAAUCCCGCCGCGGUGCUCUUCAUUGAGUGUCGAGGUGGGCCGGCACGUUUACUUUGAACAAAUUAGAGUGCUUAAAGCAGGCUAAAACUUCGCCUGAAUACGUGUGCAUGGAAUAAUGGAAUAGGACCUCGGUUCUAUUUUGUUGGUUUUCGGAACCCCGAGGUAAUGAUUAAUAGGAACGGAUGGGGGCAUUCGUAUUGCGACGUUAGAGGUGAAAUUCUUGGAUCGUCGCAAGACGGACAGAAGCGAAAGCAUUUGCCAAAAACGCUUUCAUUGAUCAAGAACGAAAGUUAGAGGUUCGAAGGCGAUCAGAUACCGCCCUAGUUCUAACCAUAAACGAUGCCAGCUAGCGAUCCGCCGACGUUCCUCCGAUGACUCGGCGGGCAGCUUCCGGGAAACCAAAGCUUUUGGGUUCCGGGGGAAGUAUGGUUGCAAAGCUGAAACUUAAAGGAAUUGACGGAAGGGCACCACCAGGAGUGGAGCCUGCGGCUUAAUU
rnacentral:rRNA from 1 species